rnacentral:rRNA from 1 species
GAUGAACGCUGGCGGCGUGCCUAAUACAUGCAAGUCGAGCGAAUGGAUUAAGAGCUUGCUCUUAUGAAGUUAGCGGCGGACGGGUGAGUAACACGUGGGUAACCUGCCCAUAAGACUUGGAUAACUCUGGGAAACCGGGGCUAAUACCGGAACAUACUUUGUACCGCAUGGUUCGAAAUUGAAUGGCGGCUUCGGUUGUCACUCAUGGAUGGACCCGGUGUGCAUUAGCUAGUUGGUGAGGUAACGGCUCACCAAGGCAACGAUGCGUAGCCGACCUGAGAGGGUGGUCGGCCACACUGGGACUGAGACACGGCCCAGACUCCUACGGGAGGCAGCAGUAGGGAAUCUGCCGCAAUGGACGAAAGUCUGACGGAGCAACGCCGCGUGAGUGAUGAAGGCUUUCGGGUCGUAAAACUCUGUUGUUAGGGAAGAACAAGUGCUAGUUGAAUAAGCUGGCACCUUGACGGUACCUAACAAGAAAGCCACGGCUAACUACGUGCCAGCAGCCGCGGUAA